CACCACGUUUGGAAAGGCCAUCUCUUAAGAAGACUUCCCUUUCUACUGAGAAAUUAGUUCAAGGAUGUCUGCAAAGUAAGGGCAUAUGACAGUUAUUUCAAUUCUAUACACCAACUCUUGCUAAAAUUUCUCAAAGUGAAGCAUCUGGCUUUCAGAAUGAAGUGGAAGAACAGGAGAGGUCAUCUCAAGUUAUCCCGAGGACAAUGUUGUGAAAAGGACAUCUUUGAAGAAAACCCUGAACAACACUUCUUAAAGAAGAUAAAGCAAAUCCAAUUUGUUCAGAUGCCUCUGCUGUGCUCAGAGAUAAAUCACAUCGUUGUACUUUAUCAGCAGAUUGGUGGGCAGUUUAACAGCUAAAAACUGAAAACAAACUGGAAAGGGACUCUGGUGUCUCCGAAGAAUACGUUGUUUAAUGUGG
rnacentral:lncRNA from 1 species